rnacentral:rRNA from 3 species
GGACUACUCGGGUUUCUAAUCCCGUUCGCUCCCCUGGCUUUCGCGCCUCAGCGUCAGAAGGGAUCCAGGACGUCGCUUUCGCCACCGGCGUUCCUUCCGAUAUCAACGCAUUUCACCGCUCCACCGGAAGUUCCACAUCCCCCUACCCCCCUCGAGGCCGCCGGUAUCCGAGGCACUUUUCCGGUUGAGCCGAAAGAUUUCACCCCGGACCUUGCGGCCCGCCUACGCGCCCUUUAAGCCCAGUGAUUCCGAACAACGUUCGCACGGUUCGUCUUACCGCGGCUGCUGGCAC